GAUGAAGAACGCAGCGAAAUGCGAUACUUGGUGUGAAUUGCAGAAUCCCGUGAACCAUCGAGUCUUUGAACGCAAGUUGCGCCCGAAGCCACUAGGCCGAGGGCACGCCUGCCUGGGCGUCACACGCCGUUGCCCCCCCAUCUACUCCUUCGGGAUUGCGGGGGGGCGGAUGAUGGCCUCCCGUGCGCCUAGCCGCGCGGUUGGCAUAAAUACCAAGUCCUCGGCGACGCACGCCACGACAAUCGGUGGUUGCGAAACCUCGGUUGCCCGUCGUGUGCGUUCGUCGCGCAUCGAGGGCUCGAAAAAAUGCUCGGCUCCGGCUGGGCUUUCAACGCGACCCAGGUCAGGCGGGGUUACCCGCUGAAUUUAAGCAUAUCAAUAAGCGGAGGA
rnacentral:misc_RNA from 1 species